rnacentral:rRNA from 1 species
GAUCCUGGCUCAGGAUGAACGCUGGCGGCGUGCUUAACACAUGCAAGUCGAACGAGGCACUCUAUUUGAUUUUCUUCGGAAAUGAAGAUUUUGUGACUGAGUGGCGGACGGGUGAGUAACGCGUGGGUAACCUGCCUCAUACAGGGGGAUAACAGUUGGAAACGACUGCUAAUACCGCAUAAGCGCACAGGAUCGCAUGAUCCGGUGUGAAAAACUCCGGUGGUAUGAGAUGGACCCG